AAUAGAGUGGCCGAUAAAAGGUGGUAAACUGUAAAUUUAUUUAUGAGGAUAUCCUUCUCUAUUA
rnacentral:tRNA from 1 species